rnacentral:rRNA from 1 species
ACAGCAGCAGCCACGGUAAUACAGAGGGUGCGAGCGUUAAUCGGAUUUACUGGGCGUAAAGCGUGCGUAGGCGGCUUCUUAAGUCGGAUGUGAAAUCCCCGAGCUUAACUUGGGAAUUGCAUUCGAUACUGGUUAGCUAGAGUGUGGGAGAGGAUGGUAGAAUUCCAGGUGUAGCGGUGAAAUGCGUAGAGAUCUGGAGGAAUACCGAUGGCGAAGGCAGCCAUCUGGCCUAACACUGACGCUGAGGUACGAAAGCAUGGGGAGCAAACAGGAUUAGAUACCCCCGUAGUCCCUGUCUCUUAUAC